GAGUUUGAUCGUGGCUCAGGAUGAACGCUAGCGGCAGGCUUAAUACAUGCAAGUCGAGGGGCAGCAUGAGUGUAGCAAUACAUUUGAUGGCGACCGGCAAACGGGUGCGGAACACGUACACAACCUUCCUUUGAGCGGGGAAUAGCCCGGGGAAACCCGGAUUAAUACCCCAUAGUAUGGUGAAGAGGCAUCUCUUUACUAUUAAAGAUUUAUCACUUAAAGAUGGGUGUGCGGCUGAUUAGGUAGUUGGCGGGUAACGGCCCACCAAGCCUACGAUCAGUAACUGGUGUGAGAGCACGACCAGUCACACGGGCACUGAGACACGGGCCCGACUCCUACGGGAGGCAGCAGUAAGGAAUAUUGGUCAAUGGACGAAAGUCUGAACCAGCCAUGCCGCGUGGAGGAUGAAGGUCCUCUGGAUUGUAAACUUCUUUUAUAUGGGACGAAAAAGGCCUUUCCAGGUCGUCUGACGGUACCAUAUGAAUAAGCACCGGCUAACUCCGUGCCAGCAGCCGCCGUAAC
rnacentral:rRNA from 2 species